rnacentral:tRNA from 1 species
GGGGAUUUAGCUCAGUGGUAGAGCGCUUGCCUAGGAAGCGCAAGGUCCUGGGUUCGGUUCCCAGCUCCG